GACGAACGCUGGCGGCGUGCUUAACACAUGCAAGUCGAACGCUGAAGCUUGGUGCUUGCACUGGGUGGAUGAGUGGCGAACGGGUGAGUAAUACGUGAGUAACCUGCCCUUGACUCUGGGAUAAGCCUGGGAAACUGGGUCUAAUACUGGAUACGACAUGUCACCGCAUGGUGGUGUGUGGAAAGGGUUUUACUGGUUUUGGUUGGGCUCAUGGCCUAUCAGCUUGUUGGUGGGGUAAUGGCUCACCAAGGCGACGGCGGGUAGCCGGCCUGAGAGAGUGAACGGCGACACUGGGACUGAGAGACGGCCCAGACUCCGACGGGAGGUAGCAGUGGGGAAUAUUGGACAAUAGGCGGAAGCCUCGUGCAGCGACGCCGCGUGAGGGAUAGCGUCGCGUGUGUUGUAAACCUCUUUCAGCACGGAAGAAGCGAAAGUGACGGUACGUGGAGAAGAAGGGCGGGCUAACUACGUA
rnacentral:rRNA from 1 species